rnacentral:hammerhead_ribozyme from 1 species
AUCUAUCUGACGAGUCCCAAAUAGGAUGAAACGAAAUUCCUGGAC